rnacentral:rRNA from 1 species
UACAGAGGUCCCAAGCGUUGUUCGGAUUCACUGGGCGUAAAGGGUGCGUAGGCGGUCGGGUAAGUCUGAUGUGAAAUCUCCAAGCUCAACUUGGAAAUGGCAUCGGAUACUAUUCGGCUCGAGGAAUGGAGGGGAGACUGGAAUUCCUGGUGUAGCGGUGAAAUGCGCAGAUAUCAGGAGGAACACCAGUGGCGAAGGCGGGUCUCUGGGCCGAUACUGACGCUGAGGAGCGAAAGCGUGGGGAGCGAACAGG